UGGGGAAUAUUGGACAAUGGGGGGAACCCUGAUCCAGCCAUGCCGCGUGUGUGAAGAAGGCCUUAUGGUUGUAAAGCACUUUAAGCGAGGAGGAGGGUACUGGUAUUAAUACUACCAGCUACUGGACGUUACUCGCAGAAUAAGCACCGGCUAACUCUGUGCCAGCAGCCGCGGUAAUACAGAGGGUGCGAGCGUUAAUCGGAUUUACUGGGCGUAAAGCGUGCGUAGGCGGCUAAUUGAGUCGGAUGUGAAAUCCCCGAGCUUAACUUGGGAAUUGCAUUCGAUACUGGGAAGCUAGAGUAUGGGAGAGGAUGGUAGAAUUCCAGGUGUAGCGGUGAGAUGCGUAGAGAUCUGAAGGAAUACCGAUGGCGAAGGCAGCCAUCUGGCCUAACACUGACGCUGAGGUACGAAAGCAUGGGGAGCAAACAGG
rnacentral:rRNA from 1 species